AUGAGAAAAGUAGCCCAGAAUCAAAUGAUUCAUUCUGGGCUUAGGGGAAUGGCUCAUCUAAAUGAGCCGUGCGCUAUACGGAACCAAAGAGGACAAACAGGUUACUUACAGGUUUUCAGUGUAGACAAGGCUUCUGAAAUUUUCCUGUAU
rnacentral:sRNA from 1 species